rnacentral:tRNA from 1 species
GCCCCAGUGGCGAAACUGUAAGACGCGACCGACUCUCAAUCGGUUGGCCGUUAGUCCGUGGGGGUUAGAAUCCCGCCUAGGGCA